GAUGAACGCUGGCGGCGUGCUUAACACAUGCAAGUCGAGCGAUGAAGUUUUCUUCGGGAAACGGAUUAGCGGCGGACGGGUGAGUAACACGUGGGUAACCUGCCUCAUAGAGUGGAAUAGCCUUCCGAAAGGAAGAUUAAUACCGCAUAACGUUGAAAGAUGGCAUCAUCAUUCAACCAAAGGAGCAAUCCGCUAUGAGAUGGACCCGCGGCGCAUUAGCUAGUUGGUGGGGUAACAGCUUACCAAGGCGACGAUGCGUAGCCGACCUGAGGGGGUGAUCGGCCAGAUUGGGACUGCAACACGGCCCAGACUCCUACGGGGGGCAGCAGUGGGGAAUAUUGCACAAUGGGGGAAACCCUGAUGCAGCAACGCCGCGUGAGUGAUGAAGGUUUUCUGAUCGUAAAGCUCUGUCUUUGGGGAAGAUAAUGACGGUACCCAAGGAGGAAGCCACGGCUAACUACGUGCCAGCAGCCGCCGUAAUAC
rnacentral:rRNA from 1 species